rnacentral:rRNA from 1 species
UACAGAGGGUGCAAGCGUUAAUCGGAAUUACUGGGCGUAAAGCGCGCGUAGGUUGUUUGUUAAGUUGGAUGUGAAAUCCCCGGGCUCAACCUGGGAACUGCAUUCAAAACUGACUGACUAGAGUGUGGUAGAGGGUGGUGGAAUUUCCUGUGUAGCGGUGAAAUGCGUAGAUAUAGGAAUGUUCACCUAAUGCUACGGCGACCACCUAGAUCUACACUGACACUGAGGUGCGAAAGCGUGGGGAGCAAACAGG